rnacentral:guide_RNA from 1 species
AUGAUGAGAUUAUAUGGUGUCGUAGUGGCAUCUGAUUUAU